GUGGCACAGAGCCGUGGCCAGGAGCUUUCGGGGGGCUUUUUUGUUACGGACUCUGGAAAAGUGCAAAGGGGAGGGGGAGGAGAAGCAACAGUCUUCCCAAAUUCCCCUUCAGUUGUUUAUUUAUGUACUUCCCGUGUCCAUGCAAAAAGGGUUCGUUUCGCAACUCCGGAGGUUUGGUGUUUUUUUUUUUUUUCCCUCUUUUUCCUUUUCUUUUCUUUUUUCUUUCUUUUAAACUUAUUUUUCUUUAUGUCCUGCGUUUGUCCGUCUCAUUCCGGGAGAUCGAACUGACCGAAACCAGAUACCCAGAGGCUUGUCCUCACUGACAGUCGGGGGAAUCCAAACAAAGAGGUGCAUCUACCGGAAAUAAUGAUUUGAGAGAUGUUUCUCUCCCUUUCCCCCCACCCCCCCCACCCCCUCCUCGCCUUGAAUUAAAUUAUUUUCUUUUUCUUUUCUUUUUUUUUUUUUUUUUUUUUUCCUGGGAGGUUCAGUUCGAGCGAAGUUUUGCGCCGGAGACGGGGUCGGGGCUGAGGAGGGAUGGAGAAGACGGAAAGUUGCGGUAGUGGGAGGAGGCGGGGGGCGAGGGCAGCGCGGGACCCCGGCUGCGCCCGGGCCGCGGGGGGAGCAGGGGCGCGGGGGACCUGCCGCCGCUGCCGGCUCUUUGUCUGCUCGGGCAACUUGAACAAAAGGAGAAACUCGGAUGAACUCUCCAUCUCUCCCUCUCCUCUCCCGGGUUAUCUCAUCUUCGACAACUUUAUCCGGAGAGAUUUACUCAACUUUCUUCGAGCUCUCCCGCCGCUUGAAAGCAGACAGCCCCGCUGUAGGCUCGUAAGGAAAUCUGGUUUCACAGUUUAAAGAAAGGAGAAGGUCAAAACACAGUCGUCGGGAAAAUGGGAUGGUUGCCAAAACGUUGGUCUGUGAUGGGUGCCAUGUUGCUUUAUUCUUUGAGUGGUGGAAUACAGCUUGGGAUUCUUCAGGGGUGGUUAACGUGGUACAAACUGUACCGUACAGCUGCUGAAGGUCUUAACUGUUUGGAUUCAUACAUAACUUAACGGGCUCCUGGAAGAAUUGGAAGAGCCUCUUGCCGAAACUUGAGGAUAUUGUGGAAAAUGCUGCUGAGACCCAUUUGGAUUAUAUUGCCAUCUGACAUCAAGGACCUGCAGCUGAUGAAAGGAGUUCACCAGAUCUUUUUGUUAUGUGGCUGCUGAAGCAUUAUCCUGAGACAGCAGUAAUGAUUGAUGAAUACGCUUCAGGCUUGAGUCAUAGAGCAGUGCGAGGAUUUACACUUCUGAAGUAAGUGUGAAUGGGAUUGAAGGAUUUACAUGGAGGAUUCUGAACUCCCCUCCUUCCUGCUCUAGGAAAGGCAGGGGCCUGCCCUGAGACCUGUGGGUAUGAUCCAUGCGUGCUACUGAAGCUGACUCGAAUGGUGUGACAAAUGUAAUGUCUUUAUCCUGCUAUGAGCAGCAGACAGAUCACUCUUUACCAGUUGUCAAGGCAAAUAUUGCUGUAUGGUCCUUGCUCUCAGCAACAUCCUCAGUGUUCUGGUGACGGGGUGCCUUGGAAGGGCCGCGCAGAACCAGCCUCACACGACCUCUGCACCUCAGGCGCUCUGUGCUGAGGUGAUGAACACAGACCUGUAUUUCACACAGGUUUUGCCACAGGAGCCUUUCCAGUCCUGUCCCUGCUCAAGCAGGGUCUGCCUGAGCAUCUCUGAACAGCCAGCCGGAGCAACCAGAAAGCUAGGCGGAUGCAGCACAGGAGCAACGAUGGCAGCACAAAGCUGCACCGUUCAGAAGAAGCGAGAUUGUCUUUCCUUACAGCUACGACGCUGCACCGCUCUCGACACAGCCUGCUUUUCCCCCCAUUUACCUGGGCGGCUGCUGCUGUUUCUGCUGCUGCUGGGGCUGCUGCAGUCUCGCUGCCUGUGCUUCACCCCGGCUUGGCUGACUCGAAACUCACUCGUCUGCACAUUGCUAAGGAAGAAGAGCGAUGGAGCCGCGUUUUUUCUGUUGGUUCUGGAAGCAAAGGGUUGCGAUGUGUGAUGAUUUUGGGGUUUUCUUUUGGAGGGGAGGGAGGAGAAAGGAAGGGUGUUAAUCUAGGAUGGGGUGGGUGAAAGCUUAAAGAAAUAUUAUGUAAAGUAAUCCAGUGCUCGACAAGGGCAUCAGCAGCAAGAAUCCAGCCUCUGCUGCUCCAGAGGAUUAACAUGGGGAAGCCACAGUGCUGCAGUCGGGUUUCACCUCAGCGUUGUGCUGGAGAUGGAUAAAUAAGGUAUCAGUUGUGUCUGCCUGUUAAGGCAAAGCCGUGGGAGAAGGAGAGAGCGAGCGAAUGCAAAGGAAGAAGAAAUGCUACGUGCUGUUUGUCUGAUUUGGUGCAUUCUCAUUGCAGAGAGGAUGGCGUGAUUAACAGAGCAACGUAUGGACGGAGGGACUGUAAAUUGUAGCUCGAACUCUCCUGAUGCUGUCAGGGAGGGAACUGAUGAGCGAGGUGGCUGCAGUGGUAUCCCCAGGGAAAACAGCAGCCAUGCACUCUAUGUGUGCGUGUGUAUGUAUGUAUGUGCUUUUGUGGGUGUGUUAGCAUGUAUAGACAUGAGAGAAAGACAUUUCUAACCAAUUUACAGAGGAAGUUUGUCACUUUGCUGGGUCAGACUUGAUUGCAGCUUGUAUUUUCAGCUAUAGCUCUACACCCAUUUCCUGACUGAGGCGGCACUUUGCGAAAACAGAUGUAGGCAGAAUUCUUUUAAGAAAUGUAAAAGCAGAUCCUUUCCGCUUGACACCUUGAAGCACUGAAUCUUCUGUACUGUGCUAAGAGAAACUGGGGGGGUUUCGUUCUCUCCGUCUUAAAAUCUUUAUAAACACAGCUGUAUUCAGUAUGGUGAAAAAUUCUAUACUGUAAAUAGAAAUGUGAUCAAUCUAAUCAAAAUAAAUGCAUCCCAGAUGACUUCUAGACCAGCUGACUACCACAGUCAUCAGAUGGCUAAAUGCUCAACUGAGCAUUUAUAUUCAGCGUUAUAUUUACAUCUUUUUUUCUUCUUUUAAAUUUCGAAAUCAGCCUCCAAUUAAAAGAGAUUCAUCUAUUGAAAAAAGCCAAUGCUCGCAUUUGGCAAUAGAUUUCUCUGAAAUGUACCUGGGUGUAUUUUUCUUAUUGCUGAACAUGCAUGGGGGAGACUAUGUUUUUAGAGCAGGUAGACUUGUCACAGUACAGGUAUAUUUAGUUUGGUAGGCAGCUCGGCUUGGCCAUGCCUGAACAAUGCAGAAAUAGGGGAAACAAGGGCUGCACUCAGCUAGCGGGGCUUGGCAUAGCUUCUAGCAGCUGCCUACUGAGAAAGAGGGGGGUUUUUUUUCCUUUUUUUUUUUUCCUUCUAUACAAAUCCGUAGAGCAUAAUGUCAUCCUAAAAUGUGUACGAGGGGAUUUCCCAAUAGUCAUGGUGAGCUACCCCGCAAGACUCCUGUCUGGCCCUUCCACUAUUUGUUACCCAGCCUACAAAGGCAGCCCUGUGUGUUGGAUUAUAUUUAGCCAGCUGUUGGAUAACAUUCUUGUGCUGGGGGCAAAGGAGUCUUAUUACUCUCAAACUGUAGUUUUCUGUUUGCUUAAAGAAAACUAACCUUGGCAAUAAAGCAGGCUCUGCAAAGGAGUUUAUGCCACUCCUAUACCUUUCUGAAACUGGGGUGUGCUUCUAAGUCAGGCAGUUUAAAGCAAGCAAGGAGGAGGAAGAGAGACUCUUAACUCACAGCUUCAAAGCUGCAGAGACGAGCAAAAUGUCAGCAGCUUGUAAUUAGGAGUCCACGGUUACGUCAGUGACUGUAUCUCUCCAAGAAUAGCUAUGUGAUGUGUGCCACAAAGCAAAGGAAGGCAGUCAUAACCUGGUUAUCAAGCCUGGUUCAAACAAGAAAGAGCAAAAUGGAUUAAUGAAUCUGCUGUGUUCCUAAAUCAGAUGUGGAUGGAUUACAUGUACGAGGCUUGCUGAAUUCUGCAGCAGUGAAGACUGAAUUUUCAGUUUGUCAGAAGGCACGCAUUCACCGAGUGAAAGCGUGAAUCCUUCAGAAAAAAAUGCAGAUGAACCGUCUAUUCUAGAAAUUGUCUUUCCCAGCUCCAUCCUGUGCAGCCAGCUGCGCGACACGGAGGCAUGCUCUGAAAGGAGAGACCCGCGAGCCGCACGGAGGUGUUUAAAAGGAAGGGUGUAAUUAAACACAAAGCAAGCCUGCUGAAAUUCUGUUCUGGCAUUACAGAUUUGAUACUGAAAUACCACCCCGGAGAAGACUGGCAGGGGUCUGGCAUGGUUAUAUUAAGGCUUCUCUGGUUAAGAGCGAGGGGGGAAGGGAAAGGGCUUCGCGCAGCAUCUUGCAGCCACGCAGAAGUCCCCAGGGCUGCGCGGGGAAGAGGGAUGCGCGCGGCUACGUGCUCUUAAAGGCACAUGCCCAGACCCUGCCAGGAGCUUUCCGACCUCUGCAAUUAUUUUUAGGUCUGUGCAGGCAACUCGGCAGUGUUUAAGCAGUGAGAUUGCAGGGGGUGCUUAAUCUGCUCCAACUGGCCUUUCUCCGCGUUGUGACUGGAAGAUGUUUACAGGGCUUUUAUCGGUACCCCUCCACAAUAUUCCGUGUGCGUGUCUGGCGGUGCUCACGCUGCCCAAUUGCUAGAAGCCUGGCGUGGUUCCCUGCUCCCAGCAGAAGUCGGUUGCAGUUCAGCUCUGUUUAUGUCGCUCUUUAAUUUACCAGGAUAGGUGGAUUGUAUUAUGCAAACAGUGGGGUGGGGUGGUUUGGUUUUUUUUUUGGACUGUGAACACAAAUUUGUAGGAGGAGAUGACUCUGUAUAUUAAACCAAUAGCUCUUUGAAUUGUGCGUAGUAUAAUUUAAAUAUACUUACUUCAAUUAAUAGAAGGUUACAAAAGCUGGCAUUGUCUGGGGCUGUUUAAUUUACAUCUUAGGCUUAGUCAAUGAGCAUAACCUGCCUGAUUAGAAUAGCGUAUUCUGCGCAGCCAACAGGGUGGAAGACAUCAUUUUGUUUGUGUUAGUUCAAACAGCUGGUCAUUAAUGCAGGCCCCAUCUCCAGAGUGAAGUGCUAGUGGACAUGAAUGGCUGCCUGAUUAAUGCUGCCCCUCGACGGGUCCUUCAUCCAGCAGCGAUGCUUGCAGCAGAAUAAUGCAGCGUGAUUUGAUUGCGCUCUAACAGGGUAGUAUGUCAUUGUGUCACCGAGCAAUCGAGGUUAUUAUGGGGCAGGGCAGACAGACGGGACAGUGGGGUUACUAGACCGUGGCAUUUUUAGAAAUGCAGGCCUGACCUACUUAGAGUUAUUCUUGCUGGCUGGCAGCUGCCUGGUGCAGGGCUCCCCGUGAUAGGCUGCGGCUGUUGCUAGGGGGAAUUAGCAUGAAUUUUUCCACAUACAGGCUCUGUGAUUGAAUGAUAAAAGCUGACUGGAAUUAAAGAGAUUCAGUUCAGUAUUAUGCAGAUUUAUCUCCCUCUUCCUCCCCCCCCCCCCCAAAUGCAUAAAAAGGAGCAGAAGACAGUUUGUUUCCAUUUAUUUUUGACCUAUUUUUUUUUCCAGGGGAGGGCAGAAGUGUUGUGAAUUUUUGAUCAUCAUUUACUAUUUAAGCCGUUGAAAUGAUAUGACAGUGGGCAUGCAUCUUUAAUGUAUGGGAGAUUCAAAUGCUGUUUCUUUGGAAGGCAAUGAAAUGAAUAUAUUUUGUGUUCUGGUCACACUGCCGCCUCUUUCUAUUUGAAGCUAUGUCGGAUUCCCUCGUCUGGAAAGGGGAAACAUAUACCAGGUUUUAUUGCAUAACAUUACUCUUGGCUAUUUUUAGAUAUCUGUACUUCACAAAAUUAGUCCUAUGUUUAUGUUGGUGGAUGAAAUUAAUCCCCGGACUAUGUCUCCUAUAUGCAGAGACAGACGCCCAGGGCAUGCUGCAGUGUUGUGUGUCAUGUUCAUCUGAAAAGGCGUUUACAUCCUGCAGAUGUAUCAGCACUGCAUACCUAGCAGAGGACUGAUGCCUGGCCUGUAAUCAGAUCAACUGGAGAACCUCUUCUGGAUUUUGGAGUAUUUUUCAGGCUUGGGUUUGAAGUUGGAUUCUCUAGAUGGCCCUUUUUUAUUUAUCUACAUCUGCCUAAAAUAGUGUUAUCUUUUCAGAGAACUCUAAGCUCCCUCAGGAAGCAAAUAAAAACAAUACUCAGUGAAGAAUCCUUUGAUGUAAUUAUGAAUAUUUCCUUUGUUAUUAUCACUAAUUAUAGAAGAUCUUUGUUUAAACCGCAA